AUUGAACGCUGGCGGCAGGCCUAACACAUGCAAGUCGAGCGGAGCGGCGGACGGGUGCGUAAUGCCUAGGAAUCUGCAUGGUAGUGGGGGAUAACGUCCGGUAACGGGCGCUAAUACCGAUUCCUCUAACAUCAGCCUAGGUCGGAUUAGGUAGUUGGAGGGUUAAUGGCCUACAAGGGCGCCGAUCCGUAACUGGUCUUAGAGUAAUAUCAGUCACACUGGAACUGAGACACGGUCCAGACUCCUACGGGAGGCAGCAUUGGGGAAUAUUGGACAAUGGGCGAAAGCCUGAUCCAGCCAUGCCGCGUGGGUGAAGAAGGUCUUCGGAUUGUAAAGCACUUUAAGUUGUGAGGCGUUACCAACAGAAUAAGCACCGGCUAACUUCGUGCCAGCCGCCGCGGUAAUAC
rnacentral:rRNA from 1 species